rnacentral:rRNA from 1 species
GACGAACUGCCCAAACGUUGUUCGGAAUCACUGGGCUUAAAGGGCGCGUAGGCGGCAGAUCAAGUCAGGGGUGAAAUCCGGCAGCUCAACUGUCGAAGUGCCUUUGAUACUGAUUUGCUCGAGGGAGAUAGGGGCCUGUGGAACUUCUGGUGGAGCGGUGAAAUGCGUUGAUAUCAGAAGGAACGCCGGUGGCGAAAGCGACGGACUGGAUCUCUUCUGACGCUGAGGCGCGAAAGCUAGGGGAGCAAACGGG